rnacentral:rRNA from 1 species
UAGGGGGUGCUUCCAUCUGGAAGAAUCUGGAGACAGGUGCUGCAUGGCUGUCGUCAGCUCGUGUCGUGAGAUGUUGGGUUAAGUCCCGCAACGAGCGCAACCCUUGCCUUUAGUUGCCAGCAGUUCGGCUGGGCACUCUAAAGGGACUGCCGGUGUUAAACCGGAGGAAGGUGGGGAUGACGUCAAGUCCUCAUGGCCUUUAUGACCAGGGCUACACACGUGCUACAAUGGUCGGUACAAAGGGUUGCCAAGCCGCGAGGUGGAGCUAAUCCCAUAAAACCGAUCGUAGUCCGGAUCGCAGUCUGCAACUCGACUGCGUGAAGUCGGAAUCGCUAGUAAUCGUGAAUCAGAAUGUCACGGUGAAUACGUUCCCGGGCCUU